rnacentral:rRNA from 1 species
UACAGAGGGGGCAAGCGUUGUUCGGAAUUACUGGGCGUAAAGGGCGCGUAGGCGGCCCGCUAAGUCGAACGUGAAAUCCCCGAGCUCAACUCGGAACUGCGUCCGAUACUGGCGGCUUGAAUCCGGAGAGGGAUGCGGAAUUCCAGGUGUAGCGGUGAAUGCGUAGAUAUCACUUGGAACGCCAAGGUGAAACAGUCUGCUGGGACUGCUGACGCUGAGACACGAAGCCAGGGAGCGAACGG